CAGAAGGCUCAGGGUUCAGACAUCAGAACACUGGGUCCUGGUCCCAAGUCUCCUCAUCACAGUGGACGAAAUUUCAUUCCAGCCCAUCUUUUCUGAGCCAAGCGCUGUGCUGGGCAUAUUCACAUGCAUUAUAUUCAUGCAACCCUCACAGGGUCCUAGGGAAACUUAGGCUCAGAGGAGUUAAGGGGCUUUCCCAAGUUCACCAGUGAGUGGGUGGGAGAUCUGAGACCAAGACCCAGUCUGGCUGACCCUGGUGGAGGCUUCCUCUUCCAACUCACCCGGCCUCUCCCUCCUGAUGGUCUGUCUUCAAAGCCCUCCAGACUCCUUCUCCAGGACCCUGUAAUUCCUUCAUUACAGCUGUGCGGGACUCCUCUGGUCUGGAGCUGGUGUACCCCCUCGCAGAGGGAGUCCCGCUGUUCAUGGAGGGGCGUGAGUUCUGAUCACUAUGGGCACCUGCUCUCUCACAAGCAUAACUAUCGUUGCUGGAAAUGACAAGAGGACCUAAGGAGCACUCUGUAAAGCGGACAGAGUAAGGCAGACGGGUUAAGGGCCCCAGGACUGGAGGAACAACACGGCGGCAGGAUGUCUUAGAUCCCACCCACCCACAGAAGAAGGAGACCCAGGCCCAGUUUCUCUAUUAGCCCCAACCUGGCCACAGAAGGCAACCCAGAUAAGGAAAUUGAAGCUCAGAGAGGUACAGUGAGUUGCUAAAGAUAGCACAGCUAGCAAGCUGGGUAAUCGCGAUUUAUACCUGAGGUUCAGCUGCAAUCCAGACCGCAACCCUCAACACCUCUUGCUUUUCCGUCUCUUCCUCCCAUCUGCUCCUCUCACCUGCCGCUUCCUGCUGGGCCAAGCAGAGCAGGAAACAGGGAAAAAUGACUCCCCUGAGGUGAGAGAUAAUGGGGGCAGCUCCUGGGGCCGGUGAGGGUGAAAGUCCUGUCGCUCGCUGCCCCCUCAGCACCUGGGGCAUCUGCAGAUUCCCCCAGAGCCCUGCACCUGACACCGAGGUUGCCCCUGCUCUCCUUCCAGAGCGGGCCUGAGGAAGUCAGUGCACCUGACCGUCAUGCUCAGUUAUUCAUGCCAGUAAGAGUUUCAUUGAAAUUUCACGACAGUCAUCAUGUCAUCAAACAGCUGACGAUGGCCUUGGAUCUUUGCCGGAGUCCCGCGGUCCCACAGCAGAGAUCUUCAUGCAAAGUCUUUCAACCCUCACAAAUCAGUUCUGAUAACAAGCCCUCUUGUGAUUGUCGCAAAGUCCAAAGUGGGGCAGAUGCAGCACCCUGGUGACUGUGGUUGAAGAAGGCCCUCGCCGGAGCAGGGCUGUGGGGUCUGCUGGCCACUUGGUCCUGGCCUCUGGUUCCAGGAGACAGUCUCUGACAUUUACCCAGCGAGAUCCAUGGGAUGAUUCCAGGGAGAUUCCUGGGAAUGGAAUUGCUGGGUAUUAUGCACGUUUCAGAACCUGCAGCAUUAAAGACCAGCUGGGAUGCCGUCUGGAGCGGUCCAUUCCCAGCACCUUCCUGCUUCCUGCUUCUCCGCCCCGCCCAGACCAGUGGGCUGGUUUCCUCCUGAUUGUUGCUCCCUUGGAAAGAAGGGCUUGAAUCCACUUCUGUCUGCCUCAAAGCCUCUUGACAACCUACUCCACCCUCCUGCAGGCCCCCCGAUGUAGACGACGAUGGUGGUAAAAAUGGUCCAGGUGUUGCGGAUGAAGCGAGCUGAUGAUUGCCGCAGGGGCAGUCGUGCCUGUCUUGUUCACUUCUGCACCCCUAACGCCAACAGCCGGAGCCCAGGACAUAGCAGAUACUCAAUUAAUGGUCAUGAAUGAAUGGAAAAAUCAACAAACAAAGUGCUUUGAUUUGGCUGCAGCCCAGAGGACCGGUCGGGACUCCUGGGACCGUGGAACGGAGAUCUCGAGUGCCGGGGUGGUUUAUUUUUCAUUCCUUUGAUGAUGGGUUUAGAGUUGAGGCAAGGCCUGAAAAGAAAGGCAGCUGGGUCCAGCAGCACAGCUAAGUGGGCCAUUUGGGGGCCGAGGAAAGGGAUAUCACUGGUCUGAUGGUCCCUAUUGGUCUUAGCAAAUCAGAGCCUCCCUGGUGUUCCCCAGUGGAUGGCAAUGAGGAAGGAUGCCAGUGCACUGCCGCCCUCCACACUGGCCGCAGAGAAGAGUAACCUCUGCCCUCUCCAGAGCCCGGCUCUGCUCUCUGCUUCCCUCCAUCCCUCAAAUGGAAAAGAAGGUGAUGGAUGGUUUGUCUCCUUGCCUGUUUCCUUCUCUGACAAAGUCAGUUACCCUGUGAGGCAUGGUUCCAUCCAUCUUACCUGGAGUCAACCAGCUUUUCUGCCAAGUGCCCAGAACACAACCCAAUGGAGACAGGCUGUGUCCCUGACUCCUGCUGGAUCCCCACGGAAUCCCUGGUCUUCCCUUUGGAAGGGGAACAUUGUGGCAGGGCCGCAGCUGAGGUGCUUUCAUCCAUCCUGAGCAGAGCUCGCUGAGACGCCCUCCGUGUAGCCAGGCCUGUUCCUGUGGCCCAACAACGGGGAGGGUUUGCAGAGUCUGGCACUGGCUGCUUCCUUUGCGAGGCAGGGAGCACCGUGAAAGGACGCCUACCCAGGCAGGCACACUUUCAGAGCCAGGCUGUAUACCGUCAACAGGGCCCCCGCCCCAUGCUCGCAGGCACAAAGACAAAUGGCCAAGGGGAG